CUUUCCAGGGUGAAAUGGUAACGCUUUUUUAAGAUGGAAACGAGUGUGGUGAAACCCUGAAAGGGGGUUCGGGAAAGGAGGAGACCGUCCUGGUGGGCGGCUCUGGACCAGGGCUUGUGCACGAGUCCUCAGGGUAAACGAUGGAGAAAAUGAGUGAAAUCAGACCAAGGGAAGUAGCCCCGUCACCCAAGGACAAGCACCGUGGAGGUUUCGCUGUUUUCUUCCGCUCCUUCCUCGCGGGGGUGAAACGCUGCAGUGAGCCCAAACGUCUCCUUUGUGGGGAUGUGUUUGAGGGGGUAAUGUUGUUUGGAAAAAGCAGUAACUGUCUGCUAUUGUGGGAGAAUGACAUGCAUCAGCUGGGUGACACCAUCGAACAGGCUUGCUGGUCUUCAGAGGGUGGACGUACAAGCCGGGCGUGAGGGGAACCUGGCAGAGCGGGGUGACGCCGGCAGGUGCGCGGGUGCUCCAUGGGAACAGCUGAGCAAGUAGCACACCAGUUCUCUGCAGAAAAGACCCAGACAUCGAGAAGCCAAGAACAACAAGCCAGAAAACAUAUUCCCGGGAGUCACGGUCACGGAGACGGCUGGACUAGAAAAUGAUCGGUUGUUUGGCACAGAAUCACAAGUUCAAUCAACGGAGGCUCAGAUAGAGGAGCAUCUGGUGAAAAUCUGAGGCAGGAAGGCAAGUCCUCGUCCACUGCACAUGGCUGGAAUGCUUUCUGUGGCCAGCCCAUGACACACGGGUGGUCAGAGCCCCGAGGGACCGGUUCUGUACUGUGGGAGCCCUCAGAAAGCCGUGUUCAGAGCAGUUUUGAACUGGAUGACACUGGGUUUGUGCAGUGAGGCAGUUUGUUUCAUAAGCAUCUGAUACAGUAACGGGAGGGGGAAGUGUCUCAAAAAAACUCUGACUUCAGAACGUGUUUUCUUUGGUGUUAUUUUAAUUAUUUCAUCUCCACUCAUUAUUCCAAUCAUUUUGGGAAAUUUGUCCUGUCUUGUUACUCCAUUUGCACAGGGCUGUGUUCCCACCUUUGUCUGCCCCACU